AACGUACGCUGGCGGCACGCCUAACACAUGCAAGUCAAACGAAGUAUCAAUACUUAGUGGCAGACGGGUGAGUAACAUGUAGGUAUCUGCCCUUUGGCCUGGAAUAACACGAGGAAACUUGUGCUAAUACCGGAUAAGUCUUUACGGAGAAAGCUUUAUGCACCAUUGGAUGAGCCUGCACUUGAUUAGUUUGUUGGUGGGGUAAUGGCCUACCAAGACUGUGAUCAAUAGCUGAUUUGAGAGGAUGAUCAGCCACAUUGGGACUGAGACACGGCCCAAACUCCUACGGGAGGCAGCAGUGGGGAAUCUUGCACAAUGGAGGAAACUCUGAUGCAGCGAUGCCGCGUGAGUGAAGAAGGCCCUUGGGUUGUAAAGCUCUUUCGUCGGGGAAGAAAAUGACUGUACCCGAAUAAGAAUGUCCGGCUAACUUCGUGCCAGCAGCCGCGGUAAUACGAAGGGACCUAGCGUAGUUCGGAAUUACUGGGCUUAAAGAGUUCGUAGGUGGUUGAAAAAGUUAGUGGUGAAAUCCCAGAGCUUAACUCUGGAACUGCCAUUAAAACUUUUCAGCUAGAGUAUGAUAGAGGAAAGCAGAAUUUCUAGUGUAGAGGUGAAAUUCGUAGAUAUUAGAAAGAAUACCAAUUGCGAAGGCAGCUUUCUGGAUCAUUACUGACACUGAGGAACGAAAGCAUGGGUAGCGAAGAGGAUUAGAUACCCUCGUAGUCCAUGCCGUAAACGAUGUGUGUUAGACGUUGGAAAUUUAUUUUCAGUGUCGCAGGGAAACCGAUAAACACACCGCCUGGGGAGUACGACCGCAAGGUUAAAACUCAAAUGAAUUGACGGGGACCCGCACAAGUAGUGGAGCAUGUGGUUUAAUUCGAAGAUACGCGCAGAACCUUACCAACACUUGACAUGUUCGUCGCGACUCUAAGAGAUUAGAGUUUUCGGUUCGGCCGGACGAAACACAGGUGCUGCAUGGCUGUCGUCAGCUCGUGUCGUGAGAUGUUGGGUUAAGUCCCGCAACGAGCGCAACCCUCACUUUUAGUUGCCAUCAUUAAGUUGGGCACUCUGAAAGAACUGCCAGUGAUAAGCUGGAGGAAGGUGGGGAUGACGUCAAGUCCUCAUGGCCCUUACGUGUUGGGCUACACACGUGCUACAAUGGUAUCUACAACAGGAAGCAAGACUGCGAAGUUAAGCAAAUCCUUAAAAGAUACCUCAGUUCGGAUUGCACUCUGCAACUCGAGUGCAUGAAGCUGGAAUUACUAGUAAUCGUGGAUCAGCGUGCCACGGUGAAUGCGUUCCCGGGUCU
rnacentral:rRNA from 1 species